UACGUAGGGUGCAAGCGUUAAUCGGAAUUACUGGGCGUAAAGCGCGCGCGGGCGGUUUUGUAAGACCGAUGUGAAAUCCCCGGGCUUAACCUGGGAACUGCAUUGGUGACUGCAAGGCUUGAGUGUGUCAGAGGGAGGUGGAAAUCCGCGUGUAGCAGUGAAAUGCGUAGAUAUGCGGAGGAACACCGAUGGCGAAGGCAGCCUCCUGGGAUAACACUGACGCUCAUGCACGAAAGCGUGGGGAGCAAACAGG
rnacentral:rRNA from 1 species